AACCAACGUUAAGAGUUCAACAUAUAAUUCAACAGAAGAUAUCAAUAUAAAGGAGUUGAACGUAAAACCACGUCAAUGAAGUUAAAAAUGCUGUUCAGAUUCUGAAGAAGCAGACAUGUUGCCUAUCUUCUUAAGAAGCUCAAAAUUCGCAAGGGAAACAGCUUUCUCAACAACAGCAACAUAUGACAAGGAUUCUAGCCCUGUGAGCUCUUAGACUUAGCUUCCGACAACAACGGUUCAAGUUCUCCUUUCCGAUAAAGCUUCAAGGUAUCUGUACAACCUCCGAUAUGUUGGCCACCUG
rnacentral:misc_RNA from 1 species